ensembl:lncRNA
GGAGAAGACAAUAACCCUUAAAUGGUAUUAUAGACCAGCAUUAGGAAAGGCAGAGGAGAAGACAAGAACCCUUAAAUGGUAUUAUAGACCAGCAUUAGGAAAGGCAGAGGAGAAGACAAUAACCCUUAAAUGGUAUUAUAGACCAGCAUUAGGAAAGGCAGAGGAGAAGACAAUAACCCUUAAAUGGUAUUAUAGACCAGCAUUAUUAUUAUAACGUUGUGUCCAUAUAACUUGACAAACAUUCAGUUCUCAUCUGGGUUGAUACUUUGGAUCAUUGUUCUCAAACUGAUCUGGAGUAUUCAAGUCAAAACAUAAAUACAAAUCAACUUUCAAGUGAGCCUCCGCUAUGUGAAGAAUAUUACCCAUGAGCCUUUGGGGGCAUUGCGAUGAUGGUUCGCUGUAGGUCCCAAAUGGCACCUUAUUCCCUAUAUAGUGUACCACUGUUGACCAGAGCCUUAUUCCCUAUAUAGUGUCUAUGGGCCCAGGUCAAAAGUAGGGCACUAUAUAGGGAAUAGGGUGCUAUUUGGGAGGCAAUCUAGAUCUCAGAGAGUCGUGGGGGGAAGAUGCGGCGUAGGGGAGGCCUCGCGGUCUUGUUGCCACGGCGAAGAGACUCUAGCUCCCGAUGGGUAGCCAUCACUACCCGACUGAAAGAGAGGGAUGAAGGAGGGAGAGAUAGAGAUGGAGGGAGGAAAGAAAAGAGGGAGAGAAAAGGAGAAAAGAGAAGGAUGGGGGAGGGAGAGAGAGAUGGAGGGAGGAAAGAAAAGAGGGGGAGAAAAGAGAAGGAUGGGGGAGGGAGAGAUAGAGAUGGAGGGAGGAAAGAAAAGAGGGAGAGAAAAGGAGAAGAGAGAAGGUUUAGGUAGGAGAGUUCUCUGAUCAGGCCACAGACCAGUUCUGUAGCGUCUUCAUGCCCUUCCUCUUUCUCCUCUUCCUCUUUCUCACUAGUUAAGGGGAAGAGAGAGACAGAGAAUGGCACCAUUCCCUAUAUAAUGCACUACUUUCGACGAGGGCCAUAUGUGCACUAUAUGGGGAAUAAGGGGGCAUCGUAGGCUUCAAAACAAGCCAAUACAAAGUUAUAAAAUAGUGUACUGGUUCUAGGAAGAUGGAUAAAUGUAUCUGACCAGUAGUGUUACUGAAACCAGAUGAAAUAUCUAGAUCAGUGGUUAUCGUUGGGUACUGCAGGUGGUAUAUCUAGAUCAGUGGUUAUCGCUGGGUACUGCAGGUGGUAUAUCUAGAUCAGUGGUUGUCAUUGGGUACUGCAGGUGGUAUAUCUAGAUCAGUGGUUGUCGUUGGGUACUGCAGGUGGUAUAUCUAGAUCAGUGGUUAUCGCUGGGUACUGCAGGUGGUAUAUCUAGAUCAGUGGUUGUCGUUGGGUACUGCAGGUGGUAUAUCUAGAUCAGUGGUUAUCGCUGGGUACUGCAGGUGGUAUAUCUAGAUCAGUGGUUAUCGCUGGGUACUGCAGGUGGUAUAUCUAGAUCAGUGGUUAUCGCUG